rnacentral:lncRNA from 1 species
AAACCCCUCCUAUGCAAUGAAACUCAGGUAGCAUAGAAAAAGCAGAUAACUCAAGCAUUGCAUACAGAGAAGCCAUUCUUGGAACACCAGGCAAUAAGCAUUGCAUUAGAUCAGAGCAGUUCUGGGUACAUCUAUGGUCAACAAGAAAUAUCUUCAAAGUCUGAACUUUGAGCUAUAGUAGACAGACAAACUAAGAAUUCCUCAAAGUUAGUAUUUCCAACCUUGAUGUAAGAGUCUAUUCCAUCCACAUAAACAGGCUCAGAACUUAAAUGGAAAGAGACGCUGAAGAGGGCACCAAAUAUAUGAGAACUGGAACAGGGAAAGGAACAAAGAUCUGAACAUGAUCAGAUAGAGAUAUUUGCCUACAGACAAGUCCUUGGUUAAAAGACCGUGGAAAUUGAUUCCAGAACUAUACUCUAUAUUAUUUAUGGCUUGUGGGACACAGAAAUGUGUUCUGGUUACCUGUGCGAUAAACUGUACAUACUUCUCAUUUCAGAGUUGGAGUCAAUCACUCUCUGUUGGCCUUUUUUGCUGUCUUUACAAAGUCAUGGGUUAACGAACCCUACUGGGUACUUCUAACAUGAGGUGUCUGGGCUGAGAGAGUCUUACUGGCAAUUGAUGUCAAGAUUCUUCGUCCAGAGGCACAGAGCAGGAAGGUUCUUGGUCCACAGACACCUUAAAACAAGGCCACCCUGGCCAGGUUUAUUCCUGUCUGGUGGCCUACACAUUUCUUAUAUCCUGGAAAAACUAGUGAGUAAGCAAGUGUCGACCUCAGAGUCCCUGACGGGGCUAUUUUGAAACCACACACCAUGAAAACUCUCAGGGAAGUUAAAAAACAAACAAUCAUAACCAAGGCAGUUUAGCUGUUUUGAAAAGAGAUGGAGCUUCAUUACUUCAAACCCAAAUUUCUGCAAGCCUGGCAACCACCUUACAUCAAAAUAAACGUCCACCUGCUAGCUGAAAUGUUUAAAAACACAGCUUCAUCUUUCUGCUCCAAUGUAGCAACUACCAAGGGGCCACCUGACAGAACAUGGCCGCUGCAGAGGAACCCUGCUACCUGCAGUCAGUGACAUGGCCUAGGUCCCAGAGGCCUCGUGGUGCCACACACACAAGAACAGACACCAACACCCAGUGACAUUUUGACAGUCAAAUGGAACCUGUGACUGCCAUCUGUAGAUGUGCCAGCCAAGAAUGUGACCCUGGGGAAAGCCCUUCACACAGGUCUUUCCUUGGUGUAUUUAUAUUUAGUUCCAGCGAAAAACUGCAGUUGUUUUUCUCAGUGACAGGCAUCAAACGAUAACCGAAAAGAAUGAGAAAUAAUUGUUCCCUUUCUCCCUGUUAGGAGAUUGUACUCUUUGAAUAUGGGACCACAGCUCUCUGAACAACUAGCUCUCCCAUGCCUGGCUCAUGAGACAUCAUAAAUGUUGAUUGUAUUAAAGACAAUUUAGAGGGAAAGGACUUGAAUUCUGGUUCUAAGC